UACGUAGGGUCCGAGCGUUGUCCGGAAUUAUUGGGCGUAAAGAGCUCGUAGGUGGUUUGUCGCGUUGUUCGUGAAAACUCACAGCUCAACUGUGGGCGUGCGGGCGAUACGGGCAGACUGGAGUACUGCAGGGGAGACUGGAAUUCCUGGUGUAGCGGUGGAAUGCGCAGAUAUCAGGAGGAACACCGGUGGCGAAGGCGGGUCUCUGGGCAGUAACUGACGCUGAGGAGCGAAAGCGUGGGGAGCGAACAGG
rnacentral:rRNA from 1 species